rnacentral:rRNA from 1 species
GGGUUGUGAGGUUAAGCGACUAAGCGUACACGGUGGAUGCCCUGGCAGUCAGAGGCGAUGAAGGACGUGCUAAUCUGCGAUAAGCGUCGGUGAGGUGAUAUGAACCGUUAUAACCGGCGAUUUCCGAAUGGGGAAACCCAGUGUGUUUCG